rnacentral:lncRNA from 1 species
UGGUUUUCUUUAAAAGUGCUCUUCAGCAUUAAGUAUAGGCUGAGACACGGAGGCUGAUAUAAAGCUGGGUUUUUUUUCCCCAGGUGUGUGAUGAAAAGACAAUGACACAGGAGCUGACAAUUCUGACAAGAAUAUGACAGACCAUGGUAUGAGAGAAAUCAGUCAUUCUCUUCCCUCCCACAUCCCCUCUGGUGGGCACAUUGGUUGUUAUGGGUCCACUUGGGCCCCCAAUUCAUAUAGGCUGAAGCCCUAACCCUCAGUAUGACUCAGAAUGUGACUGUAUUUGGAGACAGGGCCUUUAAAGAGGGAACUAAGUUCAAAUGGGGUCGUUAGGGUGGGCCCUAAUUUAACAUGGCAGAUGUCCCGUGAGAAGAUUAGGACACAGACAACACAGACAGAGGGUUGACUGUGUUAGGACAAAGCAAGAAGGUGGCCAUCUGCAAACCAAGGAAAGAGGCCUCAGAAGAAACUACGACUGCCAACACUUAGAUCUCAGAUCUCCAGCCUCCAGAACUGCAAGAAAAUCGAUUUCUGUUGUUUAAGCCACCCGGCCCUAGCAGACUGAAACAUGACAAGGCCGGCGCUGGCCCCCCAAGCACCUCUGCAGAGACCCGGGAUGCCAGGGAGGCCCAUUUACAAGCCAGCAAUUCCAAAGAGAGGAGGCUAAGGCUAAGUGUCGGCUGGACCCUUCUUCUCAUACUCUCCUGGUUCCAUGUUCUCCUCGCUUCCUUCAAUAGUCCACGAAGACCUUCCUCCCCCGUUGGUCCAAACAAACCCACAUCGGAUCGACCAUUUUCUAGUGUCUGAGCUGACGUGCUAAGUGCAGAAGCUUUUCAACGUCCAGUAUUCGAAGUAUGGAGACUUUCUGUCUUGCUUACAAUUCAGCGAUUCUAUUUCUGCUGCCCUGUUGUUUUGGUGCCUAUGUGUGAUCGCAUGGAACUGUGAAACGUUAAAAACUCAAGAGGAGCUCGUUUUUCCUGAAAUAUAAAGACUCCGAGAUCCUGCUUCUUGCAAAAGUGUCUUUGAAGGCCUCCUACCACGCGCCGGUGCUCAGCCCUGCAGAGGUGGGGCAGGGCGAGAGGGUGGGGCCUCCUUGAUGAUGGGCAGGCUAGGGGACAUCCUCCAGGCUGUCGGUUGCCAAAAGGAUUCUGACGACUCGAAGCCCUUUCCCCUGUGGUCACUUUAGGUCUCCCGCUAUCGAAUGCCCCUCUGGUUUCUGGCAACUGUCCUCUGACCACAAAG